rnacentral:lncRNA from 1 species
AGACACUAAUGUUAUCAUAUAUGCAAGUGAGGAUGAAAAGCUUGGUGGCUUCAUGGAAUAUGAAGAUGAAAAAAAUUGCAAAGUUUCUUAAGUGCUCAUCCGUCUAAUUUAUAUGUGAAAAGAUGAAUUCUUGAAUAAUCUUUAAAUAAUAACAAAGUACACAGGAGAACUUCUGGCUGGGUAUAGUACUCCCAUAAUGUCAACACAUCAGCAAAUUAUCCUUUGCAUACACUUCAUAAG